AACAAUAGCAUUUAAAAUGCAUACCGGUUUCGGCCCGGUAAGAGCGCCCCAACGCAUACACCAAAUUUU
rnacentral:tRNA from 2 species